UUUCUAUGAUGAUUCUAACUAGCUCACUUUGAUAACUAAAAUGAAAACCCUUGAACAUCUGAGAAAC